UACGUAGGGUGCGAGCGUUGUCCGGAAUUAUUGGGCGUAAAGAGCUCGUAGGCGGCUUGUCGCGUCGGAUGUGAAAGCCCGGGGCUUAACUCCGGGUCUGCAUUCGAUACGGGCGAGCUAGAAUUCGGUAGGGGAGGCUGGAAUUCCUGGUGUAGCGGUGAAAUGCGCAGAUAUCAGGAGGAACACCGGUGGCGAAAGCGGGUCUCUGGGCCGAUAUUGACGCUGAGGAGCGAAAGCGUGGGGAGCGAACAGG
rnacentral:rRNA from 1 species